rnacentral:rRNA from 1 species
AGCAGCCGCGGUAAUUCCAGCUCCAAUAGCGUAUAUUAAAGUUGUUGCAGUUAAAAAGCUCGUAGUUGAAUUUCGGGGUCAGUAGAUUGGUCGUGCCACUGGUAUGUACUGGUCUUACUGGCUCCUCCUUCCUGAUGAACCGUAAUGCCAUUAAUUUGGUGUUGCGGGGAAACUGGACUGUUACUUUGAAAAAUUAGAGUGUUUAAAGCAGGCUAACGCUUGAAUACAUUAGCAUGGAAUAAUGAAAUAGGACGUUCGAUCUUAUUUUGUUGGUUUCUAGGAUUGACGUAAUGAUUAAUAGGGAUAGUUGGGGGCAUUAGUAUUCAAUUGUCAGAGGUGAAAUUCUUGGAUUUAUUGAAGACUAACUACUGCGAAAGCAUUUGCCAAGGAUGUUUUCAUUAAUCAAGAACGAAAGUUAGGGGAUCGAAGACGAUCAGAUACCGUCGUAGU